CUACGCACUCCUACGGGGGCAGCAGUGGGGAAUAUUGCACAAUGGGCGCAAGCCUGAUGCAGCCAUGCCGCGUGUAUGAAGAAGGCCUUCGGGUUGUAAAGUACUUUCAGCAGUGAGGAAGGUGGGUAUGUUAAUAGCAUACUCAUUUGACGUUAGCUGCAGAAGAAGCACCGGCUAACUCCGUGCCAGCAGCCGCGGUAAUACGGAGGGUGCGAGCGUUAAUCGGAAUUACUGGGCGUAAAGCGCAUGCAGGUGGUUUGUUAAGUCAGAUGUGAAAGCCCGGGGCUCAACCUCGGAAUUGCAUUUGAAACUGGCAAACUAGAGUACUGUAGAGGGGGUAGAAUUUCAGGUGUAGCGGUGAAAUGCGUAGAGAUCUGAAGGAAUACCGGUGGCGAAGGCGGCCCCCUGGACAGAUACUGACACUCAGAUGCGAAAGCGUGGGGAGCAAACAGGAUUAGAUACCCUGGUAG
rnacentral:rRNA from 1 species